rnacentral:rRNA from 1 species
GAGUUUGAUCAUGGCUCAGAACGUACGCUGGCGGCACGCCUAACACAUGCAAGUCGAACGAAGUAGCAAUACUUAGUGGCAGACGGGUGAGUAACAUGUAGGUAUCUGCCCUUUGGCCUGGAAUAACACGAGGAAACUUGUGCUAAUACCGGAUAAGUCUUUACGGAGAAAGCUUUAUGCACCAUUGGAUGAGCCUGCACUUGAUUAGUUUGUUGGUGGGGUAAUGGCCUACCAAGACUGUGAUCAAUAGCUGAUUUGAGAGGAUGAUCAGCCACAUUGGGACUGAGACACGGCCCAAACUCCUACGGGAGGCAGCAGUGGGGAAUCUUGCACAAUGGAGGAAACUCUGAUGCAGCGAUGCCGCGUGAGUGAAGAAGGCCCUUGGGUUGUAAAGCUCUUUCGUCGGGGAAGAAAAUGACUGUACCCGAAUAAGAAGGUCCGGCUAACUUCGUGCCAGCAGCCGCGGUAAUACGAAGGGACCUAGCGUAGUUCGGAAUUACUGGGCUUAAAGAGUUCGUAGGUGGUUGAAAAAGUUAGUGGUGAAAUCCCAGAGCUUAACUCUGGAACUGCCAUUAAAACUUUUCAGCUAGAGUAUGAUAGAGGAAAGCAGAAUUUCUAGUGUAGAGGUGAAAUUCGUAGAUAUUAGAAAGAAUACCAAUUGCGAAGGCAGCUUUCUGGAUCAUUACUGACACUGAGGAACGAAAGCAUGGGUAGCGAAGAGGAUUAGAUACCCUCGUAGUCCAUGCCGUAAACGAUGUGUGUUAGACGUUGGAAAUUUAUUUUCAGUGUCGCAGGGAAACCGAUAAACACACCGCCUGGGGAGUACGACCGCAAGGUUAAAACUCAAAUGAAUUGACGGGGACCCGCACAAGUAGUGGAGCAUGUGGUUUAAUUCGAAGAUACGCGCAGAACCUUACCAACACUUGACAUGUUCGUCGCGACUCUAAGAGAUUAGAGUUUUCGGUUCGGCCGGACGAAACACAGGUGCUGCAUGGCUGUCGUCAGCUCGUGUCGUGAGAUGUUGGGUUAAGUCCCGCAACGAGCGCAACCCUCACUUUUAGUUGCCAUCAUUAAGUUGGGCACUCUGAAAGAACUGCCAGUGAUAAGCUGGAGGAAGGUGGGGAUGACGUCAAGUCCUCAUGGCCCUUACGUGUUGGGCUACACACGUGCUACAAUGGUAUCUACAACAGGAAGCGAAACUGCGAGGUUGAGCAAAUCCCUAAAAGAUACCUCAGUUCGGAUUGCACUCUGCAACUCGAGUGCAUGAAGCUGGAAUUACUAGUAAUCGUGGAUCAGCGUGCCACGGUGAAUGCGU